UCGGUGGGAUUUUCGUCCGCUU
rnacentral:miRNA from 2 species